rnacentral:lncRNA from 1 species
GGAUCUUUCCUAGAAGCAGGACUUCUCAGAGGAGAUUUGUCUUAUCAAUCUCAGUCCCCUCACAUUCCCACAUUCCCAAAAUACUAAGUAUAUUCAUUCUGAUUAUGAAUCCUGAGAUGUUGGGCCAAAGACUACAGAACGGUAUUAUAUUUAAUUUACUGUUUUGUUGUAAAAUGUUCUGCUAUGUAAGUAUUUCUUUUGUAAGUAAAUUUGAAUGGGAAAAUAAUGUUUAGCUGCUGGAAACUCUUGUAACUUUAUACUACCAUUCAGAUAAAUAUACAGAAGAUAAGGUGUUUCUCGAGAUACAGAAUGAAAGGAGAGAUUAAUAAAUGUAUUUUUUUCCACAGAAAGUACUGUUCCUUAUCAAUAUAAUCCUGAAUUUCUGACAUUUUGAAAUAGUGACAUAAAUACAAUUUUAUUUUACUUUCUUUGCUUUAUUCUUAAGUAUGAAUCUUUUGGUUUUAAUUUUCUUUAGUGAAAUUUUAAGAUUCUUCCCAAUCUGUGACUUUUAGUUUUCAGAAUUGUUCAAAGAUCAUUAUCUGUUUGUCUGAUAGAAUGGAAGUAUCUGAUGUUUCAACACAUAUCUUUUAUAUAUCAGAAUGAUUUGUUCCUAGCAUCAGUAAACUCACACAGCAAAAUGACAUUUUGAGGUUGGGAGCCUGUAGGUGUGUAUCUUCACUCUAACAUCUCAAUUUCCCUGUUCAUGUCUGAUUUUUGUUGUUGUUGUUGUUGUUGUUGUUGUUUUGGAGUGAAUCAUCCAAUUCCUCCUUGGAUUAAGCUGAGAUGUGUCUCUGCAGACAGCUCCAUUCAAGGCCAAUCUCACUUGACAGCUAGAGAUGGUGUAUGGCAAGUCUACCCUGGUCACUGCAGCAGAGCCUUUUCUGAUGCAUCAAAAUCAAGGUCCUGGGCUUGCAGCAUGUGCCCUUUUCAUGAGGUAUAGCCUUUGGUUUGAUGGGAUGCAAGACAGUCCUUGUAUCAUGUCAGAGCAUCACAUCAUCUAUGGAUUCCACUUAUUUAUUCAACAGCUCUUCGGAGAAAUUAUAUGAUUACACUUUAUUUUUAAUGAAGCUUUAGCUAUGAUCUUUGCUUCCAGAGCUUUAUGUUCACAUGAGAAAUUAAAAAAAAAAAAAAAAGAAAAAAAAAAAGAAAGGAGAGCAAUUGUGAAAAAUCUCUUGAGAAAGAAACAGAAAGAAAAUACAUAUCCAGAAAACGUUGGUAAAGACAAAAGGAGGUUGCCUUGUUUAUUUUUCUAGUUAAGAGAUUUACUCUGGAUGAGUCCAGACAAGAUUGCUGCUGAAAUAUUCUGAACUGGAAUAUGAGGGAUUCGUCAAUCUCAAAGGUUGAAGUUCUUUCACUGGGGUCCUGUUCUACCCUGUGUAGUAUUUCUGUAGCAUCCUAGGAUAGCACAGGGAUGCUCUUGGGGUGUCUUCCCAUUCAAUUCCAUAAGCACUGGUUUUCUUCUGAUACUUUGCUCUGACUCUUGGCCAAAUAUUCUGGAGUCUUAAUGUCUCAACAUUUAGGGAGUAAAUGGCAGUACGGUGUCAUGGGGAAUACUGCCAAAUUUACUUGAUAUUAUAAUUUCUUGAUUGUUUUCUGGGUGUCUUUUCUGUUUUAUUCCAUAGCAUUUCUAAAUUAUUUGUAAGAAACAUAACAGCAUGUCUUUUCUUGCUGAAAUCAACUACGUUUAGAGAGGUAAUGAUAUACACCAGAAACUAAGAGAAAGAAUAAAAUACCAAAAAACAUAGAAAAGAUUUUUGCAGGUAAACCUGUAAACCUUUGAACAAUAACUUCACAUACCUAGUACCAUGUGAUUUAGGAAUGCACAUGUACUAGCUUGAAUUUUGAAUGCCAAUACUUUUAAAAAUUGACAAAAUUUUUGCCACAGAAAAAUAAAUGUUCAGAAAAUUUAGAAAGCAGACACAAAAUCAUCUAAUCAGCUAUCUGUCAGGGAAUGUUUAUUCUAGAUAAAUUGGGUUCACUGGCUUAAUUGUCUUCAAUAAGUAAUUUGACCAGAUCUCCAGUUAAUCUGUCACUAAUUUGACAAAGAGGAAACAAAACUAAAUCAUGCCUGGUGUAAAAUCCUCUGUUUACUCUUCCCUUCUUGUUAAAAUGCUCACAGAUAAUUUUUAUUGGUAGCAAUUUGAUGUUAGUGGAUAGCCAACAAUUUAUUACUAGGCUUAUGCCAUAUUGCUUUUCCAGCCUGAAGAAACCUAUUUCUUCCAAGCAUAGCACUUUUUCACUUACCAUCUCUUGAGACUGCUUAAGCAACCAUGAUUCAAUUAAACCCAUGUUCAAUGGCUGUGCCUGUGUUUCACACUUGGCUGAUAAAAGAAAAAUAUGGGAUACUUUACUGUUACUGACUGACUCUUUUUUAUUUAUAGUUUUAACCUGUAAGUCUUUAACAAUCACCUUAAUUCUGUAUGUGUGUGGAAAGUGCUGAGCUGAUAAAAGAAAGCUACAAGUGCAAUCUGUACUGAGGAAG